rnacentral:tRNA from 1 species
GUGGGGUUGUGGCUCAGUGGUAGAACACUUGCCUUGCAUGUGUGAGGCACUGGGUUCAAUCCUCAGCACCACA